AUUGAACGCUGGCGGCAUGCUUUACACAUGCAAGUCGAACGGUAACAGGCCGCUAGGUGCUGACGAGUGGCGAACGGGUGAGUAAUGCAUCGGAACGUGCCCAGUCGUGGGGGAUAACGCAGCGAAAGCUGCGCUAAUACCGCAUACGAUCUAUGGAUGAAAGCGGGGGACCGUAAGGCCUCGCGCGAUUGGAGCGGCCGAUGUCAGAUUAGGUAGUUGGUGGGGUAAAGGCUCACCAAGCCAACGAUCUGUAGCUGGUCUGAGAGGACGACCAGCCACACUGGGACUGAGAAACGGCCCAGACUCCUACGGGAGGCAGCAGUGGGGAAUUUUGGACAAUGGGCGCAAGCCUGAUCCAGCAAUGCCGCGUGCAGGAAGAAGGCCUUCGGGUUGUAAACUGCUUUUGUACGGAACGAAACGGUCCUGGUUAAUACCUGGGGCUAAUGACGGUACCGUAAGAAUAAGCACCGGCUAACUACGUGCCAGCAGCCGCCGUAACAC
rnacentral:rRNA from 1 species